UGAACGCUGGCGGUAGGCCUAACACAUGCAAGUCGAACGGCAGCACAGUAAGAGCUUGCUCUUACGGGUGGCGAGUGGCGGACGGGUGAGGAAUACAUCGGAAUCUACUUUUUCGUGGGGGAUAACGUAGGGAAACUUACGCUAAUACCGCAUACGACCUACGGGUGAAAGCAGGGGAUCUUCGGACCUUGCGCGAUUGAAUGAGCCGAUGUCGGAUUAGCUAGUUGGCGGGGUAAAGGCCCACCAAGGCGACGAUCCGUAGCUGGUCUGAGAGGAUGAUCAGCCACACUGGAACUGAGACACGGUCCAGACUCCCACGGGAGGCAGCAGUGGGGAAUAUUGGACAAUGGGCGCAAGCCUGAUCCAGCCAUACCGCGUGGGUGAAGAAGGCCUUCGGGUUGUAAAGCCCUUUUGUUGGGAAAGAAAAGCAGCAGGUUAAUACCCCGCUGUUCUGACGGUACCCAAAGAAUAAGCACCGGCUAACUUCGUG
rnacentral:rRNA from 1 species